UGGUGUUGAGGCUUCCUAGUGAGCCAGACAAAGAUGUCGUCAUCAAUAAGCUGUUUGAUUUCUUGACUGAGUUUCCUAGGGAGACUAAGUUUUCUGAGGUCCUGUUCUACAUGGUCACAUUCCUUCAGCAGGGAAAUCUUUCCUGUUCUUCAUACAAAACACUGUUUAACAGACUGGACCUGGCCAUGGUUACAGUUCCUCUUGAUAUGGGUCCAGCCAUCACCCAGAGCAAGAUGAACUUGUCCCUGCUCUUACCGCCAGGUUGCACCAUAUAUAAAGGACAGUGCAACACCACCAUGGUAAAUGAAACAGACGUUUGUGUUGGAGUGAACAG